rfam:Ictidomys tridecemlineatus contig008600, whole genome shotgun sequence.
GGGGUUGUGGCUCAGUGGUUGAGCACUCACCUGGCAUGUGCGAAGCCCUGGGUUUGAUCCUCAGCACCA